UGGGGAAUAUUGCGCAAUGGGCGAAAGCCUGACGCAGCGACGCCGCGUGAGGGAUGAAGGUUUUCGGAUCGUAAACCUCUGUCAGAAGGGAAGAAACCGCACUGUGCUAAUCAGCAGUGCCUUGACGGUACCUUCAAAGGAAGCACCGGCUAACUCCGUGCCAGCAGCCGCGGUAAUACGGAGGGUGCAAGCGUUAAUCGGAAUUACUGGGCGUAAAGCGCACGUAGGCUGCUUUGUAAGUCAGGGGUGAAAUCCCACGGCUCAACCGUGGAACUGCCUUUGAUACUGCUUAGCUUGAAUCCGGGAGAGGGUGGCGGAAUUCCAGGUGUAGGAGUGAAAUCCGUAGAUAUCAGGAGGAACAUCAGUGGCGAAGGCGGCCACCUGGACCGGUAUUGACGCUGAGGUGCGAAAGCGUGGGGAGCAAACAGG
rnacentral:rRNA from 1 species